CCUACGGGAGGCAGCAGUGGGGAAUUUUGGACAAUGGGCGCAAGCCUGAUCCAGCAAUGCCGCGUGAGUGAAGAAGGCCUUCGGGUUGUAAAGCUCUUUUGUCGGGGAAGAAACGGUUGGGGCUAAUAUCCUCAGCUAAUGACGGUACCUGAAGAAUAAGCACCGGCUAACUACGUGCCAGCAGCCGCGGUAAUACGUAGGGUGCAAGCGUUAAUCGGAAUUACUGGGCGUAAAGCGUGCGCAGGCGGUUUUGUAAGUCUGUCGUGAAAGCCCCGGGCUUAACCUGGGAAUUGCGAUGGAGACUGCAAGGCUUGAAUCUGGCAGAGGGGGGUAGAAUUCCACGUGUAGCAGUGAAAUGCGUAGAGAUGUGGAGGAACACCGAUGGCGAAGGCAGCCCCCUGGGUCAAGAUUGACGCUCAUGCACGAAAGCGUGGGGAGCAAACAGGAUUAGAUACCCUGGUAGUCCACGCCCUAAACGAUGUCUACUAGUUGUCGGGUCUUAAUUGACUUGGUAACGCAGCUAACGCGUGAAGUAGACCGCCUGGGGAGUACGGUCGCAAGAUUAAAACUCAAAUGAAUUGACCGGNUGAGAGNGCGACGACGACGACGAGGGAGGAGG
rnacentral:rRNA from 1 species